AUUAGUGUCCCUGCUAAAUAACAGGAUUGGCCCACCAAACCUGGCUGUGGACCCCUUUCAAUGCAAACCAAAGCUCAACAUCUUCCUAAGUCCAUUUUGAAUGCAUGAGAUUUGUUGGGCAGCUAGAAAUUGCUAUAGCAAUGAAGCACAAGAUGUGCCACCCAGGACAACCAUAUCCAUAAAAAAAGGAGACCUCUUCUGGUUGCACAUCAGGGUGCAACCUCUUCCUGUACCAGGGGAAGGUACCAUGGAAAUUUACUCACUAAGUUGAUUAAGAAUAUUUUUUUUCCAUUCAUUGUCCUGUACUACCAGAACAGUAUAAAAUGUCGAGGCAGGUG